UACGACAGGCACUGUCAUUGUGUGAAUUAUUAAUGAUAUAGUGAUCCAAGCAUUACGUCGAGUUUGCCGUAAGCUUACCUCAUAGCCAUCAUAAGCCAGGUACGCUGACGGAAGGGUAACGUAACCACACGGAAGAGCCAAAAAGUACUAUGGAGGAAUACAAACGCAAAAGCAGCAGCAGUAACAACAACAACAGAAAACAGUUUUGUUAGAUAAAUGGCCUUGGGCAAAAGUCUUUAUAACUGCAAUAACAUAAGUUAGUGGAAACAGUGUCAGGCUUUCCCAGAUGGAGACAAUAUAGUGAGAUUAUUCACCCAGUGUUUAUUCACAAGAUUGACCGAAGCUUAUUUAGAUGACCAAAUUAUGAACAAUGACCCACCCUGAGGCUGUAAGCGUGUGCCUGAUGAGAGAAUGCGUACUUGAAGCAGUUAUAGGACUUAAUAUAUUCAAGAAGACCAAGCGAUCCUUAUAGGACUACAUGCAAAGCAAUGUAUUCCAGACCGCACAACUGGACAUACAGAUUGUGCCCUGAUGCCAUCUGCCCCGUUCUCCCAGCCUCAUCUUCCCUCUCCAGGGUUUCCGCGGGGUUGUAAAAGGUAGUAAAAGCUUCACAUCGGUUGGCUCUUCUUUGGCUCUCUUCAUCCCGUCUGCCUGCCUCGCUGCUCUCCCUGAUAACAUUUCCUGACUGAUGCCUUGCACUCUGACUCUUUCUGCAAGGUGCCAUUCUCAGCAGUGACUCAAUUUAGUGCCACCCUGCUGCUUGGCAUUGCACUUCUGAGGUCAUCACCAUCUUUCUUCAGCCAACCAAAAUGAUUCUCACCAACCACCCCAGCUCUGCUAAGCUUGAUGUUGGAGGUCUGCUGUUUUUGAAGCAGGGGACCACUGUCCAUUAAAGGCUUCAUAAACCAUUUAACAAAAUCACAUAAGAUAGGGUAGUUCAUACUCCAUGCGAUGUGCCAUACAAUGGAAGGGCCAUGUUCCUUAUCACAUCUGGAUACUGCAAAGCUCCUGUCUCCUCAACAAGUUACGAACUAAUCAAUUAUUAAAUGAUGAAAUGCUAUGGAAAAGCAAAGAUAUUUCUUCCUGUGGAGUUUGAGUCUUAAAUUUAGUAAUUACUGUUUAAUGGCAUAAAUAAAAGUUAAAUAUUAUGUUA